CCCUUCCAGCCCUUCCCCGCGGGCUCCGCUCCCUCAGGGCGGCGCGGGCUCCCUCGUGUAAAAUCCCCGAAUGAUCGUCCUCUCCCAUGGAGAGCUUGUUCCUCUGUAAUAGUCAAGCUGUUGGGAGUGUGGAGAGGCUGAGCAGUGAAUCCACCCGGACUGUUUCCCUUUGACUCUUUAGGAGGAACUUUUUGGAACAGUUUAUUUUAUAUAUAUUUAUUUGACAAAGCCCUAAAAUAUUAUCUGUCCAACAAAUCUCCUCCUCCACAGUUUAUUUAAGUAAAGUAAACCUUUUUAAGGAGAGGAAAUGUCUAAUUUUAUUCCUCACUUUUGGCCAGUGUGGGCUGUGCUGAUGGAUGAGAGGAGAGGGAGAAGGAAAAUGAAGGAGGAGAAGGAAUAAAACAUGGAAUAAGCACUGAAGCUUUUCCCAGCAAACACACAGGGAAGGAGCUGAGCUGGGAAAUGUGUUGCCAGCAUGACAUGAUCCAUCCAACAUUCCCAAAUAUUCC